rnacentral:rRNA from 1 species
UGGGGAAUAUUGGACAAUGGGCGAAAGCCUGAUGCAGCAACGCCGCGUGCGGGAAGACAGCCCUAGGGUUGUAAACCGCUUUCAGCAGGGAAGAAACUGACGGUACCUGCAGAAGAAGAUGCGGCCAACUACGUGCCAGCAGCCGCGGUGACACGUAGGCAUCAAGCGUUAUCCGGAUUUAUUGGGCGUAAAGAGCUCGUAGGCGGUUCGGUAAGUCGGGUGUGAAAACUCUGGGCUCAACCCAGAGAGGCCACUCGAUACUGCUGUGACUAGAGUGCGGUAGGGGAGCGGGGAAUUCCUGGUGUAGCGGUGAAAUGCGCAGAUAUCAGGAGGAACACCAGUGGCGAAGGCGCCGCUCUGGGCCGUAACUGACGCUGAGGAGCGAAAGUGUGGGGAGCAAACAGGAUUAGAUACCCUGGUAGUCCACACCGUAAACGAUGAAUGCCAGUCGUCGGGUAGCAUGCUAUUC